CCCUUGUGGUAGUUAUUAUCUGUUUGACAGCCUUUAUUGGGUGGUGAUUGAAGGACCAACAUGACUGGCAGGCCGUUAAGUUUGGUAUUAAAUGUCAAAAGAACAAUUGAGUUUUCAAAUUGUUUUUCUUGUUUUCAUUGCCAGUUACAUUGAUAAGAAACACAGUAUUCUUUUUAUAGAUCAAAACUACUGUUUUCAUUUCUGGGACUCCUGGGACUCUUCUUUUUGUCAUUCCUUGAAAGAGAAAACAAAGGAAGUUUCAAAUAAAUCUGGAAUUGGAAAGCUUCAAUGUCGAUAGUACCGAUGAACAGACCUGUUGGUUUCUUCAAGAUUUCAAGCUAUGGGAUGAGAAAUUGUCACAAACUUCACACUUGUACCUCCUUGACAGCGGCAUUGAAUUCUAGAUCUACACAAUCAGAGACAAACAAGAAAGAAGAAUUCUCAGUAGAAAAUCAGAAACUCUCCAUUCCACAAUCUAAAACAAGUCCUUUGAAUCUCCAUUUCAACCGGCUGCAGCCAUUCGAUCAAGAAAUUAUUCAGGAGGAUAGAAUUGAGUUUGGACAGUUCGUGGCACGUGAGGCCUUACUAUACGAAGAAUUUUGGACAGUAGCAUGGCUGCGAGCAGAAAGUCAUUGGGAGGAUAAGACAAAUGAACGGUAUGAAUUAAAUAUCAAAAUCAAAACCUCUGAAGCACAUAGUUAAAUUUCUCGAAACAAAUCUACAUGUGGAAGAUUGAACUUGCCAUUGUUAUAUGAAAACAGAUAAAUGAGGAAAUUAAUAGAACAAAGAGACCGGUUGGAAUGUUUGUUUCAAUCUUGUUUGUUAACUCGUGGCGAUAAUAUGCCAUUCCACUGGCUUCUAGCUCUACUUAAGAAUACAUAUAUGUUGAU